AAGUCGUAACAAGGUUUCCGUAGGUGAACCUGCGGAAGGAUCAUUAACAAAUCUAAAAAUACACCAUUCAAGUAAGAAUUUAUUCAAACUUGUAAUGUAGUAUAAAACAGUAAAAUGUUUUAUACGGGAUAUCUCACAGUCUGUAAAAAGACAGUGAUACACGAUAAUUGUUGACAAUACAUUAUUGACAAAAUAAUUAACAAAACUUUUAACAAUGGAUCUCUUGGCUCUU
rnacentral:misc_RNA from 1 species